ACGCUGGCGGCAGGCCUAACACAUGCAAGUCGAGCGCGCCUUCGGGCGAGCGGCGGACGGGUUAGUAACGCGUGGGAACGUGCCCAGAUCUACGGAAUAGCCACUGGAAACGGUGAGUAAUACCGUAUACGCCCUUCGGGGGAAAGAUUUAUCGGAUUUGGAUCGGCCCGCGUUAGAUUAGGUAGUUGGUGGGGUAACGGCCUACCAAGCCUACGAUCUAUAGCUGGUUUUAGAGGAUGAUCAGCAACACUGGGACUGAGACACGGCCCAGACUCCUACGGGAGGCAGCAGUGGGGAAUCUUGGACAAUGGGGGCAACCCUGAUCCAGCCAUGCCGCGUGAGUGAAGAAGGCCCUAGGGUCGUAAAACUCUUUCGCCUGUGAUGAUAAUGACAGUAGCAGGUAAAGAAACCCCGGCUAACUCCGUGCCAGCAGCCGCGGUAAUACGGAGGGGGUUAGCGUUGUUCGGAAUUACUGGGCGUAAAGCGCACGUAGGCGGAUUAGAAAGUUAGAGGUGAAAUCCCGGGGCUCAACCCCGGAACUGCCUUUAAAACUACUAGUCUAGAGUUCGAGAGAGGUGAGUGGAAUUCCGAGUGUAGAGGUGAAAUUCGUAGAUAUUCGGAGGAACACCAGUGGCGAAGGCGGCUCACUGGCUCGAUACUGACGCUGAGGUGCGAAAGUGUGGGGAGCAAACAGGAUUAGAUACCCUGGUAGUCCACACCGUAAACGAUGAAUGCCAGUCGUCGGAUAGUAUACUAUUCGGUGACACACCUAACGGAUUAAGCAUUCCGCCUGGGGAGUACGG
rnacentral:rRNA from 1 species